rnacentral:rRNA from 1 species
GCUUAAAGGGGCCGUAGCCGGAUUGAUAAAUCCUUUGUGAAAUUGUUGGGCUUAACCUAACAGAGUGCAGAGGACACUGUCAAUCUCGAGACCGGGAGGAGUCGGAAGUAUGCGUGGGGUAGCGGUAAAAUGCAAUAAUCCCUCGUAGACUACCUGUGGCGAAGGCGUCCGACUAGAACGGGUCUGACGGUGAGGGACGAAAGCUGGGGGAGCGAUCCGGAUUAGAUACCCGAGUAGUCCCAGCUGUAAACGCUGCGAGCCAGGUGUUGCAUCUUCUACGAGAAUAUGCAGUGUCGAAGCGAAGGCGUUAAGCUCGCCGCCUGGGUAGUACGGUCGCAAGACUGAAACUUAAAGGAAUUGGCGGGGGAGCACAACAAGGGGUGCGGCGUGCGGUUUAAUCCAACUCAACACGGAGAAUCUCACCAGAGGCGACGGCAGGAUGAAAGUCAGAUUGAAGGUCUUACUUAACAAGCCGAGAGGUGGUGCAUGGCCGCCGUCAGCUCGUGCCGUAAGGUGUCCUGUUAAGUCAGGCAACGAGCGAGACCUGUACCUACAAUUGCCAGCAACAUCUUUUGAUGGAUUGGGCACAUUGUAGGAACUGCCUUGGAAACAAGGAGGAAGGUGCAGGCAACGGUAGGUCUGUAUGCCCCGAAUCCUCUGGGCUACACGCGCGCAACAAUGGUAUGGACAAUGGGACGCAACUCCGAAAGGAGAAGCUAAACCUCUAAACCAUAUCCCAGUCCAGAUUGUGGUUUGUAACUCAGCCACAUGACGUUGGAAUCCCUAGUAAUCAGACGUUAUCAUCGUCUGGUGAAUAUGUCCCUGCUCCUUGUACUCACCGCCCGU